rnacentral:rRNA from 1 species
GGGAGGCAGCAGUGGGGAAUCUUGCGCAAUGGGCGAAAGCCUGACGCAGCCAUGCCGCGUGAAUGAUGAAGGUCUUAGGAUUGUAAAAUUCUUUCACCGGGGACGAUAAUGACGGUACCCGGAGAAGAAGCCCCGGCUAACUUCGUGCCAGCAGCCGCGGUAAUACGAAGGGGGCUAGCGUUGCUCGGAAUUACUGGGCGUAAAGGGAGCGUAGGCGGACUGUUAAGUUAGAGGUGAAAGCCCAGGGCUCAACCUUGGAAUUGCCUUUGAUACUGGCAGUCUUGAGUACGGAAGAGGUAUGUGGAACUCCGAGUGUAGAGGUGAAAUUCGUAGAUAUUCGGAAGAACACCAGUGGCGAAGGCGACAUACUGGUCCUUUACUGACGCUGAGGCUCGAAAGCGUGGGGAGCAAACAGGAUUAGAUACCCUGGUAGUCCACGCUGUAAACGAUGAUCACUCGAUGUUGGCGAUAU